AACACUGGCUGAUAUUCAAAGUGAGGCAUUUGCCGUGGUACGCGAAGCUGCAAAGAGAAAGCUUGGAAUGCGCCACUUUGAUGUACAGAUUAUUGGUGGCGCUGUGCUUCAUGA